UACGAAGGGUGCAAGCGUUAAUCGGAAUUACUGGGCGUAAAGGGUGCGUAGGCGGUUGUUUAAGUCUGCUGUGAAAUCCCCGAGCUCAACUUGGGAAUUGCAGUGGAUACUGGCAGGCUGGAGUAUGGUAGAGGAAGGUGGAAUUCCCGGUGUAGCAGUGAAAUGCGUAGAGAUCGGGAGGAACACCAGUGGCGAAGGCGGCCUUCUGGACCAAUACUGACGCUCAUGCACGAAAGCGUGGGGAGCAAACAGG
rnacentral:rRNA from 1 species